rnacentral:rRNA from 1 species
CCUUACGGCCAGGGCUACACACGUGCUACAAUGGCGCGUACAGAGGGCUGCAAGCUAGCGAUAGUGAGCGAAUCCCAAAAAGCGCGUCGUAGUCCGGAUUGGAGUCUGCAACUCGACUCCAUGAAGUCGGAAUCGCUAGUAAUCGCAAAUCAGAAUGUUGCGGUGAAUACGUUCCCGGGCCUUGUACACACCGCCCGUCACACCAUGGGAGUGGGUUGCACCAGAAGUAGAUAGCUUAACCUUCGGGAGGGCGUUUACCACGGUGUGAUUCAUGACUGGGGUGAAGUCGUAACAAGGUAACCCUAGGGGAACCUGGGGUUGGAUCACCUCCUUA